GGAAUUGACUACUAUUUUUCAAUAUUGCCAUUCGAAUACAUUGUCACGGAUAACAGUUUUGUCGUUAAUAUGUUGGAGGUGCUCAUUUCAAUAGUAUUUCGACAUUUUCCGUUAAAUUACGAAACUUGCCGAAAAUGUUACCAUGAAAUGACGUCAACAAUGCUUUGCCGUGACGUCAACAAUGCUUUUUCGUUUUAAUAUGUUUAUUGAUGUCAAAGCGAUAUAACGUACAUUCUUCUGACUUCAGAAAUGUGCGAAAACUUCGCUGUUUGACGUUUAUAAACAUAUUUAUUUUAAAUGUGUAUAAAUGUAAUUAUACAUUAUUUGUGCGUGGAUCUACUACGACCUAUUCCGUUGCAUUUGUUUUCUGCAAAAGUUGAAUGGAUAUAUCAAUAGCGGUCUUCUUCAUUGUCGUUGUAAUACGAUACAAAGCUGAGAAAAUGGAAUCUAUUACUGCUGGAGGAAAAGGUUUCGUCUAUCACGCUGCUACAUGUCGGCGCUGGACAAUGACAAACCAAGAGUAAUCAAUCGCCGAAAUCAGCCGUGUGAUUCUUGUAUUAAGAUUAUCUCUGAUGUUGGUUUGAUGUUUGAAUUAACUGGACAUAUUCAUUUGCCCAACAUGCAACAAAGCGAUUUAGUGAUUUCGGUUUUUACUGAGGUCCCAGAAAGACCGACUUGUAUAUGGCAACGACUGUCGCACGUUCCGCUAAGAAAGGAAAACAAUUUAGACGCUGUCGCUACCACCUGAUGACAAGGCACAAACAGGCAUGAGUUCAUUUCCAGAGGCUUGCUUGGAAUCAAUUUGUAUAGUACGUCAUUUAGAGCGGCCAGUCGCCCGGAAUCCAGUUGAGUCGGUGUAUUAGUGGCGAGUCGGGGUCUAAUCUGGCGACUCUGGCAGACACACUGAUUUGGGAUUACCUCCUGGUUUGUUUCAUUCAGUCAUGCACCAUAAAUAAACGAGAAAUAAAAUCUUCCUCUUAAUACGU